AUUGAGCCCAAAUGCAUGUUUCCAAUUGCCAAGCUGCUCUUCUCCAAGCAGAGAUGCAGGGACCCAGCGACUGAAGGAGCCCUUGUUUUUCCCAGUUGCUGGGGAAAGUGGUUAAAGAAGGUGCCUCACUUCUGAAACACUCCAGCCCAGAAGCAACAGGCAUCACUUCUGCUCACCUUCCACUGGUGAGAACAAGUUACAUGGGCACACCAAGAUGCAAGGGGAAAGAGAGACCCUGGCCUGGCAGUCCCUUUCUGGUGACAUCUCUCCACUAUGAAAGGGGAACAUGAACCUCUGUUGGACAGCUAUCUGUCUUGAUCACAUCUGCCCCCCAUUGUAUAAUGUGAUUAAAAGAACACUGAGCUAGAAUCAGAAGACCCGGGUUCUGGAAUUAUUCACACUUCCUCACAGGAUGAUCUUGAGCAAGUCAUUUUCCCUCAUGUGUCUGUUUCCUUAUCUGCAAAAUAAAGUCUCCACCUGUGCUGCUCACUCCACGAACAAGGAUGGUGGCAGGAGUUGUGGUGAGUAGUGAAUGGGGAGGGAGGUGGAUAUGGUUUGGAUGUGUGUCCCCUGUAAAUCUCAUGUUGAAGUGUGAUCCCCAGUGUUGGAGGUGGGGCCUGAUUGGAGGUGUUUGGGUCAUGGGGCAGGUCCCUCAUGAACAUCUUGGUGAGGUCCUUGGGUAAGGAGUGAGUUCUUACUCUGUUAGUUACUGUGAGAUCUAAUUAUUAAAAAGAGUCUGUGACCAGGUGCAGUGGCUCACACCUAUAAUCCCAGCACUUUGAGAGGCCAAGAACGGAGGAUUGCUUGAGCCCAGGAAUUUGAGACCAGUCUGAGCAACAUGGUGAAACCCCAUCUCUACAAAGAAUAAAAAAAAUUUGCCAGGCAUGAUGUGUGUGCCUGCAGUCCCAGCUACUUGAGAGGCUGAGGUAGGAGGCUCACUUGAGACCAGGAGGUUGAAGCUGCGGUGAGCCAUGGUUGUACUACUGCACUCCAGCCUGGGUGACAGAACAAGACCUUGUCUCAAAAAAUAAAUGUAUAAAAAGUAAAGAGUCUGGGGCCUCCCCACUCUCUCUCUUGCUUCCUCUCCUGCCAUGUGCCAUGCCUGCUCCCCCCUUGCUUUCUGCCAUGAGUAAAAGCUUCCUGAGGCCUCACCAGAAGCUGAGCAGAUGCUGGUGCCAUGCUUGUACAGCCUGCAGAACUGUGCCAAAUAAAUCUCUUGUCUUUAUGUUACCCAGUCUCAGGAAUUACUUCAUAGCAAUGCAAAAUGGACGAACACAGAAGUGAACACCCCACAUUUCCUUGGGGCCUCCUCUUCAGCAAGCUCCCUAGCAUGAUGAGAAGCCCUCCAAGGGUCUGCUGGACCCAUUUCUCCAUCUUCUAUCAGCUCGAGCUCCCUUGAGUGGCUUGGAUAGGGGGCACUGGUGAACUUGUGAGGAGAGCAGCUUACGGCCUGCGGUAGGGGACGGCAGAGAGUGAGGCAUGAAGGCAAGCAGGAGAGGAGAGUGCUGGCGUUCCUGGGAGGUGGGGCGGAGACACUGGGAACCCCAGGCUGGGUGUCAGAUUCCCAAGAUGUGGUGGUUUUGUAUUUACAUCCCUGUGUGGGCAGGUGGCCAGGGGGCCAGGGACUCAGGCAGUGAAGCCUCAGGCUGACUGUCACAGGUGCAACACUGGCAAGAGGGGGCUGGUAGCUGGUUUUUCCAAGGGCUCAAGGGCACCAUGGACUAUCCAGAGGUUUUGUGCUCUUUCUUGUGACAAAGUGUCUAAGGCCUCCAGGCUGCCCAAGCCUCAGGUCAGCAAAGGUAAGAGAGGGUGUGGGGUGUGCGGUGUGGAAAGGCCUGCUCCUAUCAGAUGAGGAUGCUUCUCCUGUCGAGAGGGCUUGUGUGUAACUGGGGCCAUGGACCUGCCCAGAGAUGAGUGACCAGCACUGCUCUUCAAGCAGUUAAAGCAGCCUGCUCUCCCCAGCAGAAAUGAACACGAAACAGCCAGACAUCAGACCCUGCACUACCUCCUGUCUCCAGGAUAUCCCAAGAGGCUCCUGGGGCAUCACCUCUGGCCUCAAUAAUGGAGUUGAAUUUUGAAUGUUUUUCCGUUGUCUUUAUCUUUUCUAAUGCUGGAAAUAUAAUCUGUUCAUACUAUGUGGUAAAAAUGAGGGAAAAGAUUAUGUCGACCACAAUGACUACCACAGUGGAAAAGAGCACGGUGUCUGACUUGUAGUUGUUGCUCAAUAAAUAUUUAUUGAAUGGCUGAAUAAAGCUCAUAUAGGGAAAAAGACUUGAAGGAAAAAAGUCCCUCUAAAACGUUGUUAUAGGCUGGUGGUAGGAUUAGUGGUGAUUUUUUAUAUUUUCUCUAGCCUCUGGAGUUUUGUAUUGUGGUAAUAAGGUUAUUAUAAUAACAGGUAAUUAUGACCAAAAGAAAAUUAGAGCCAAAAUUAAGUGGUCAUUUUCAUAUGAAGCACACCCCUGCUUGCAGCAUCAGCAGUUCAGCUGUGGGAACCAAGGCCUGUUGAGGGGACACAUUUUUACAUCUAUUUUAGGUCAUCUAUUUCCACCUCUGCUCUUCCUCUUCGAAAAGAAGGAAAUCUAUCUCUACUCCAAGUGAACACAUGCUGACCUUCUUCCUCCCUGAGCUAAUUAGUGCCUCGUCUAAAAUCCUGCUGAGAUUCUAGAGAGACAAGGUUUUAUAGUAGUUAAGGGGCUUUAGGAUAGACACAUCAUCUGGGUUCCUUAUAAUGUACUGUUAAUUCUGAAAAAAAUUUCUUCAUGAUAUAUAUAUAUUCUUAAAAAAGCAUUUUCUCCUGAUUUUAACACUGCAUUGCAACCUAGAUAAAGUCGGCAGUAAGCAGUUGGUCCCUUUACUGUGAACUAGCACAGUCCUAAAGAUUGUUGUCUAACCAAGAACAGAUUAGAUUGGGGGAAACCUACUCCCAGGCCUCCCUGUUCUUUUAUGAGGAAUUGGUCCUAAAAUAUUUACCCAUUAUCUUCCAACCCCAUAACCCCCCAGGCUAAAAUGAAGCCUGCUAAGGGAGCUGUGGCCGUUUGGGGAUUAGGCCAGAAGAGCUGGCUCCUGUGCUAUCGGGUGACAAGAUUCAGAGACAAGAUAGAAGCACCUUCCUCAUCUCCUGAGACCUAGUUGCCAACUCCACCGGAAAGUUACAGUUGCUAUGGUGACAGGCUACAUAAGGCACACUCAGCAGAAGUGCCAUUUAAAAAUAACUCCACCUUUUCUUUCUCCUUUUCUUUCCUUUUUGUUUUGAGACAGGAUCUAGCUCUACCACCCAGGCUGGAGUACAGUGGCACCAUCACAGCUCACUGCAGGCUUUACAUCCUGGGCUCAAGCGGUUCUCCUCACUCAGCCUCCCAAGUAGCUGGGACUACAGGCAUGCACUACCAUGCCCAGCUAAUUUAUUUAUUUAUUUUUUUUGUAGAGAUGGAGCCUCAUUAUGCUGCCCAGUCUGGUCUCGAACGCCUGGUCUCAAGGGAUUCUCCUACCUCAGCCUCCCUAAAUGCCGGGAUUAUAGGCAUAAGCCACUGCACCCGGCCCUCCACCUUUCCUUAAACUAUUUAGAAACCCUCUUUGACACAGGGUCAGGUUAAGAUGCUUGAACUUUUGGGUAAAGAACAAGGCUGGGUGCGGUGGCUCAUUUCUGUAAUCCUAGCACUUUGGGAGGCCGAGGUGGGUGGAUCGUUUGACUCCAAGAGUUCGAGACCAGCCUAGGCAACAUGGCGAGACACAGUCUCUACAAAAAAUACAAAAACAAAUUAGCCAGGUGUGAUGGUGUAUGCCUGUAGUCCCAGCUACUCAGGAGGCUGAGUGGGGAGGAUUGCUUAAACCUGGGAGGUUGAGGCUGCAGUGAGCCAUGAUGGCGCCACUGCAUUCCAGCCUGGGUGAUAGAGCCAGAUACUGUAAAAAAAAAAAAAAGAAAAAAGAAGAAAAAGAAGAAGAAGAAGAGGAAGAAGAAGAGAAAGAAGAAGAAGAGGAGGAGGAGGAGGAGGAAGAAAAGGAAGGGAAAAGAAAAGAAAAAUAACAUGUCUGAGAAUUUCUGGAAUGCAUCCUGAAUUCCUAAUAGAGAUUCCUGGAAUGCAUCCUUCACACCAGGGAAUUUCCAUUCCUUUCUUACUGGGCAAUUGUUAUGGGGAUCUGGAUUUAUUUCUGGCUCUGUCACUAACUUUUUGGGUAACUCUCAUUCAACUCACUUUGCGUCUUGAGGCCUCAGUUUCCUCAUCUGUAAAAUGGGAACAAUAAUCCUCACCUCAUAGGGUUGUUGUGCAGAUGAAAUGAGAUGAAAUAUGUGAGAAGACUCCCUUCCCUCCUUUCUCUACAAAAUGUCAGGACUGUGCCUAUCACGGGAGAACAGUAGUAUUCUCCUCAGUGCAGAUUGUCAACCGCUGUACCAACUUGUGCUAAGUCUGUUCACGCAUACCACCUGAGUCAGAACUUUUCAUUAAUGCCAGGGGAAUUCCAUCUCAGCUCCCCCAGUCAAGGAGUUCUGAGUCAUGUUUCAUCAAGGAUUUAUUGCAGGAGUACUUUGGGAAAGAAGGACGCGUGCUGCUCUGAGGAACUGGGACCACACCCUGGUGCUUGGGAAUUGGUGGCGGUGGUUGCAUUUUGUUGUUGGCUUGUUUGUUUUAAAACAUCCACAUCCUGUCCCACAGCUGGAGCAUAAAAUCAAGCUUUAGUUGUGGGAUUUUUGUUUACUUUAUUCACUAGUUGGGCUGGUCAGGAGUUUAACGGAGGUCAAUGCCUUUAACAUUGCUUGGAUUCUAUAAAGAGAAUUCUAGCAGUUUGUGCUACGAAAUAUCCUAGUGUAAAAGAGGAACUUAAAAAAAUUGACUCACACGGUCUGGUUGCUUUUAGGAUAAAUUAAUUUUUGUUUUGCUUACAAAAAUAAUAACAACUUCUGAAUGUUUAUAUGUUUUCGUUUUGCACAGGAAGCUUUGGCAAUAGAAAAUGUUGGUAGAAAAAGUAAUUAAAGAAAUAAAUGUGGCAACUCUCACAGCUGUAAAUCAUUGAUUUAGUCCCAUUUGUCCCACCCCUUACCCCCCAAAAAAAGAAAGAAGAAAGAAAGAAAAGAGGGAGAGGGAGAAAGACAGAGAAAAAAGAAAAAGAAGGAAAGAAAGAGAGUUAGCCUUUUUGCCAGAAGAUC
rnacentral:lncRNA from 10 species